rnacentral:rRNA from 1 species
UAAAACCCGGGAGGACUGGCCGCGGCCGAUUGUAAUUUGUAGAAGGUGCUUCGGGUGCGACCCCGGUCCAAGUCCCUUGGAACAGGGUGUCCUAGAGGGUGAGAAUCCCGUAUGCGGCCGAUGGUCAGGCCCAUGUGAAGCCCUUUCGACGAGUCGAGUUGUUUGGGAAUGCAGCUCUAAAUGGGUGGUAAAUUUCAUCUAAAGCUAAAUAUCUGUCGAAGACCGAUAGCGCACAAGUAGAGUGAUCGAAAGAUGAAAAGCACUUUGAAAAGAGAGUCAAACAGUACGUGAAAUUGUUGAAAGGGAAGCGCUUGCAACCAGACUCGCUCGCGGGUGCUCAGCCGUCCUUAGGGGCGGUGCAUUCUCCCGCGGCCGGGCCAGCAUCGGUUUAGGCGGCCGGAUAAAGGUUUCGGGAAUGUAGCUCUUUUCGGGGAGUGUUAUAGCCCGGGGCGUAAUGCGGCCAGCUUAGACCGAGGACCGCGCAUUCGCUAGGAUGCUGGCGUAAUGGUUGCCAGCGACCCGUCUUGAAACACGGACCAAGGAGUCGACCAACCGCGCGAGUGUUUGGGUGUUAAACCCCCGGCGCGUAAUGAAAGUAAACGGAGGUGGGAGCCUUCGGGCGCACCAUCGACCGAUCCUGAUAUCUUUGGAUGGAUUUGAGUAUGAGCCCGGCUGGUCGGACCCGAAAGGUGAGAGCAUGCCCCCGCUAUGCUUUAUUAAAUUUAUAUUUGCUAACUGCGUUUCUAGAUGGUGAACUAUGCGUGAAUAGGGUGAAGCCAGAGGAAACUCUGGUGGAGGCUCGCAGCGGUUCUGACGUGCAAAUCGAUCGUCAAAUUUGCGCAUAGGGGCGAAAGACCAAUCGAACUAUCUAGUAGCUGGUUCCCGUCGAAGUUUCCCUCAGGAUAGCAGCAACGGAGACAGUCUCAUGAGGUAGAGCAAACGAUUAGAGGUCUUGGGGUCAUAAUUGACCUUAACCUAUUCUCGAACUUCGAAUAUGUGAGAAGUCCUUGUUACUUAGUUGAACGUGGACAUUUGGAUGUAUCGUGCAUUCCCCCA